rnacentral:tRNA from 1 species
GCUCAUUUGGUGAAAUUGGUAGACACGUCAGACUUAAAAUUUGAUUCAAUAAUGAGUAUCGGUUCAAGUCCGAUAAUGAGUA